rnacentral:rRNA from 1 species
GACAGAGGGUGCAAACGUUGCUCGGAAUUACUGGGCGUAAAGCGCGUGUAGGCGGACCGAUAAGUCAGAUGUGAAAUCCCUGGGCUCAACCCAGGAACUGCAUUUGAAACUGUCGGUCUUGAGUAAUGGAGAGGAAAGCGGAAUUCCCGGUGUAGAGGUGAAAUUCGUAGAUAUCGGGAGGAACACCAGUGGCGAAGGCGGCUCACUGGCUCGAUACUGACGCUGAGGUACGAAAGUGUGGGGAGCAAACAGG